rnacentral:rRNA from 1 species
GCGAACGCUGGCGGCAGGCCUAACCCAUGCAAGUCGCACGAACCUUUCGGGGUUAGUGGCGGACGGGUGAGUAACACGUGGGAACGUGCCUUUAGGUUCGGAAUAACUCAGGGAAACUUGUGCUAAUACCGAAUGUGCCCUUCGGGGGAAAGAUUAAUCGCCUUUAGAGCGGCCCGCGUCUGAUUAGCUAGUUGGUUGAGGUAAUGGCUCACCAAGGCGACGAUCAGUAGCUGGUCUGAGAGGAUGAUCAGCCACAUUGGGACUGAGACACGGCCCAAACUCCUACGGGAGGCAGCAGUGGGGAAUCUUGCGCAAUGGGCGAAAGCCUGACGCAGCCAUGCCGCGUGAAUGAUGAAGGUCUUAGGAUUGUAAAAUUCUUUCACCGGGGACGAUAAUGACGGUACCCGGAGAAGAAGCCCCGGCUAACUUCGUG